UAGGAAGAUUGGCCCCAAAUGAUGGUGCAAAUUGUUUGCUGUUGCUUUUGGCACGCAGGAUCCAGUUGGGUAUGACUGAAAAAAACGCCGAACAGAAAAACGCCAAGUGGAUAUGGCAUUGUGCGAUUUCCUAUUGAAGAACAGCUAACAUCUGGCCGCAGCGUUUUUUUUAACUAAAAAAACGCCGUGUGGCUGAAUUGGCGUUUUUAUGGGCGUUU